rnacentral:rRNA from 1 species
AUUGAACGCUGGCGGCAUGCCUUACACAUGCAAGUCGAACGGCAGCACGGGGCAACCUGGUGGCGAGUGGCGAACGGGUGAGUAAUGCAUCGGAACGUGCCAUUGAGUGGGGGAUAACGUAGCGAAAGUUGCGCUAAUACCGCAUAUUCUGUGAGCAGGAAAGCAGGGGACCGCAAGGCCUUGCGCUCUUUGAGCGGCCGAUGUCAGAUUAGCUAGUUGGUGAGGUAACGGCUUACCGAGGCGACGAUCUGUAGCGGGUCUGAGAAGAUGAUCCGCCACACUGGAACUGAGACACGGUCCAGACUCCUACGGGAGGCAGCAGUGGGGAAUUUUGGACAAUGGGCGCAAGCCUGAUCCAGCCAUGCCGCGUGAGUGAAGAAGGCCUU